rnacentral:rRNA from 1 species
GUGGGGCAGCCCUACACAUGCAGUCGAACGGUAACAGGAAGCAGCUUGCUGCUUCGCUGACGAGUGGCGGACGGGUGAGUAAUGUCUGGGAAACUGCCUGAUGGAGGGGGAUAACUACUGGAAACGGUAGCUAAUACCGCAUAACGUCGCAAGACCAAAGAGGGGGACCUUCGGGCCUCUUGCCAUCGGAUGUGCCCAGAUGGGAUUAGCUAGUAGGUGGGGUAACGGCUCACCUAGGCGACGAUCCCUAGCUGGUCUGAGAGGAUGACCAGCCACACUGGAACUGAGACACGGUCCAGACUCCUACGGGAGGCAGCAGUGGGGAAUAUUGCACAAUGGGCGCAAGCCUGAUGCAGCCAUGCCGCGUGUAUGAAGAAGGCCUUCGGGUUGUAAAGUACUUUCAGCGGGGAGGAAGGGAGUAAAGUUAAUACCUUUGCUCAUUGACGUUACCCGCAGAAGAAGCACCGGCUAACUCCGUGCCAGCAGCCGCGGUAAUACGGAGGGUGCAAGCGUUAAUCGGAAUUACUGGGCGUAAAGCGCACGCAGGCGGUUUGUUAAGUCAGAUGUGAAAUCCCCGGGCUCAACCUGGGAACUGCAUCUGAUACUGGCAAGCUUGAGUCUCGUAGAGGGGGGUAGAAUUCCAGGUGUAGCGGUGAAAUGCGUAGAGAUCUGGAGGAAUACCGGUGGCGAAGGCGGCCCCCUGGACGAAGACUGACGCUCAGGUGCGAAAGCGUGGGGAGCAAACAGGAUUAUAUACCCCUGUAGUCCACGCCGUAAACGAUGUCGACUUGGAGGUUGUGCCCUUGAGGCGUGGCUUCCGGAGCUAACGCGUUAAGUCGACCGCCCUGGGGAGUACGGCCGCAAGGUUAAACUCAAUGAAUUUGCCGGCAGCCCGCCCAAGUGGUGGAAACUGGUGGUUUAAU